GGGCCCUUAGCUCAGCUGGUUAGAGCGUCGGACUCAUAAUCCGUUGGUCGUAGGUUCGAACCCUACAGGGCCCA
rnacentral:tRNA from 2 species